rnacentral:lncRNA from 1 species
ACAGAGCCAGAGUAAGGCAAAAGAGAAAAUACGCAAUGAGUGUUCAGGAACUCCAUUAAUAUGCUAUAACCGGUUGUUACCAAGUAAAGUGUUCGAGAUAGCUUUAGGCACUAAGUGGAGAGGGGUGAUUGCAUUGGCCAACAACAAGACUUAGUGGCGCUAACAGGACAGGAAAACACAGAAUUAAUUGAAUCUUGAACGGAUGCUCUAUAUUAUAGGAAUUGGCACGCCUACUCUGACUCUUGAAACUUAUUCUGAACUUGCGGAUCCCCUUGCAUAAGCUUCGUACAGGAACUCACCGGACUAAUAACUACCUAAUGCUUAGAGUCAAACAGUCAAACUGGAACUUUGCAGAACCACUUGCAGCUGCAGCUGGCACAUAGGAAACUCUCACCUUAGCCGAUGAAGCACCAAAUCAGAACUUGAACUGUGUACAACUCUAUUAGCGCGGAUACAUUGGACUGUCAACUGGCAAUUAAUAAGUUAACUCGAACAGCACCUUUUCUCUUUACCUACUCUGAUACUGUAUCCAUCUUCUAGGCGCCAAGACAAGAACUCGCCUUUCACUCCCGGCUCGGGGCUCCUAUUAACUUCUUGAAACAAGCCCCGUUUGAGUUUCAUCCUGAAAUGCCAACUAGCAACUACUCGCAACAAAUCAUUCCACUCUAACCAGAACAGAAGCAGUACUACAUUCCACUAGGGAUUCUACAAGGCUCUAUUUGUUUGAUAGGCAAUAGGCAGAUGUUACUAAAACAAUAGGCAGAGUAAAGGUACCUGGCCUUAGCAACAGGGAAUAUUUCUACGCUCCUAGGAUCCGAUAUAAGAAUUAUAGACCUAUAAGAGAAGAAUGGAACUAAUACCUUAAAGCACUAACACCAAUUUCACAAGUGCUGUCUCUACUCAAUCAAGUGCUGUCUCCCCUCAAUAAAGAAUUGACCUCUUUAGGCCCAUCAACCUAGUGCUCCUUCCUUGUAUUCUAAAGUACACUUUCCUUCUACUGUUUCUGAUCUCAUAGACUUAUAGCUAGGGCACCGACACUCUAACCUCCCUCUCGCCAACUACAGGAAUGGAAUCCAUCUCUUUACUCUCGAGCAUCGCAUCUACAAUUUGACUCUCGAGCAUCGCCAGAGAAGGAAGAUAUUCUGAUUAUAAGAUAUUCGGAUCUAUUACCCGACAGCCCCUUAUUCUACCUUAUUCUUUGUAUUAAUAGGAGUGGCAGUAGUUGUACCUGUUUCUAAGUAUCAUAGGAGUGGAAGUACCUGAGUGGAAGACCUGUCCCUUGUAUCUAAGAGUGGAAGACCUUUACCUUGUAGAUAAGAGUAGAAGACUGGAAGUACCCGAACACAGGACUACUAAACUACUUACUUGAGAACUACUGAUUCUCUGGUCGACCACACCUCGC